AUUGAACGCUGGCGGCAGGCCUAACACAUGCAAGUCGAACGAGUGGCGGACGGGUGAGUAAUGCUUGGGAAUCUAGCUUAUGGAGGGGGAUAACUACGGGAAACUGUAGCUAAUACCGCAUACCAUAGGAUGAGCCCAAGUGGGAUUAGGUAGUUGGUGGGGUAAAGGCUCACAAAGCCGACGCACUCUAGCUGGUCGGAGAGGAUGACCAGCCACACUGGGACUGAGACACGGCCCAGACUCCUACGGGAGGCAGCAGUGGGGAAUAUUGCGCAAUGGGGGCAACCUGACGCAGCCAUGCCGCGUGAAUGAAGAAGGCCUUAGGGUUGUAAAGUUCUUUCAGUAGCGAGGCGUUAACUACAGAAGAAGCACCGGCUAACUCCGUGCCAGCAGCCGCGGUAAUAC
rnacentral:rRNA from 1 species